rnacentral:lncRNA from 1 species
ACAAACCACCAAGUUAAAAGAUCAUCCUGCCAAAUCAGGUAAUGCAAUCUGUUUUUUUUUUUAAUCACUGCUUUAAUUCACUAAUAAAUACAUUUCCCGAACAGUGCCCUUCUGUGAGACAUCUGGAGGCUCUUGAUGGCAAAAUCUCUGGCAGACAGGAGCAGCUCGAGCUCUGCACUAUGAUCCUAAAUGACCUGCUGGACAUUCAGAAACUAGUUGCUGAAAGAGGACUUGAAAAUGCAUCAUUUCGAGGACUGGAUGACUGAGUUGUUUCCUUUCAGUAUUUGAGAUCUACAAGUGUAUAUAAAAAAUAAAAUCUUGAUGUGAAAGUGUAGGGAUAGACCGCUUUCCUUCUAAAACGAGUAACUUUGUGAAAUAAUGUAACCACCCAGACAGGAUUUUACUGGUAUUGUAUUGGUUUUUGAUUCAAAAAGUUAUUACUUUGCCAUAAUACAUAAUACUUUAUACAAAACAAGCAUAUGAGAAAAAAAUUCACAUUAUACAUUCUUUAAAAAUACAGAUCUUUACAGUUUCCUCACACUUUGGGUAUCAAAAGCAAAUCUUAUGGAAGCAUUAGUUUCCUCUUUACCUCGAGCUUCUGACUCAACUAACAUACCAGACCAACUUUUCCUCUUGUCUAGUUUCCUUUGAUGCUGCUUGAACCAGACCAAAAUCAGAAUAAAUACCUAUUGGAAAAAAAGCAACUGUUCAAUAAGCUAGUUUGUUGCACUGAAAGACCAAAUCAUACGCUAAUGCCUUGAAAAGACCCAUGUGUGAAUGAAAACUUAAUGAUGAUGGAAACAGUGGAAUGAUUCAAAACAGCAUUAUGGGUUUACAAAGACACAGAGGUGAUCUUGAGCAAGAAUAAAAUCAGUACUUGAUGGUCAAACAAACAGUUCUUUCACCAGUAUUCUUCCAACAUUAAAACAAAUGCAAGACUUUCAUGUCACGUGGUGGCCAAUAAGAACAAAAAGUUACAUUGAAGCAGCAAUAAUUUUCAUUAGGAAAAAAAAAUAUACAUAUACAAAUAUAUAUAUAACAUUGCAAUGCCCAGAUACAAAGUCACAUCAAACAUAACUGUGCACAACACAAACAUGUUGAUAGGCGAGACGUAAGGAAAAAACAAAGGCUUUUAAACAAGAAAUACUCAACGCAACAGGACACGGCUCUUUCUCUAUAUCACCACUGAAUGCUCACACAUGAUAUUUUACUUAUGAACAUGUACAGAUGGAGUGGUUUGAUGUUUUUCUAUAUACUCUAUGGCAUUGCAUAGUUACCCAUUUUUGUUAGGCGAUGAAUAACAACUGGCUUCGAUCAAAAUUAAUCUUUCAUGUACUUUAGUAAACUGUCUAAACUAGAGUCCUAUGCGAAAAUGUGAACAAACAAUAAGGUCAGAAAGCAUGUGCAUUAUUAUUAUAACAUUACGGUUGAUCAUUACAUUGGCUGGACCCCAAAGUGCGUGCAUUUAUUAGGGAAAAAACGGCAUUGUUCAAACAGAUUGCACUAUAAUGUUAUGGUGCAAUCUUAGAUUUGCACAGGUCCCAUUAAUAGAUAUUUAAAAAGAAUAUGUAGUGGCUAAAUAAAGCUUCUGAUUAAGUGAUCCACCGCAAUCUACCAGCGUCAUGUAACGUCACUGUCAGUUCACUGUUUAAUUUGGCACUGGAUAGGAAAAGGCUCGCUCAGUAAUAUCUAUCCGAUUCAAAUUCUCAACGUCUAGUCCAUGCUGAAAUGAAAUAACUAUCAUGAGUUG